rnacentral:tRNA from 1 species
GCCUGAGUGGCUCAGUUAGUUGAGCGUCUGACUUAAGCUCAGGUCAUGAUCUCACAGUUCGCAGUUCAUGGGUUCAAGCCCUGCAUCAGGCU